rnacentral:rRNA from 1 species
GAUGAACGCUGGCGGCGUGCCUAAUACAUGCAAGUCGAGCGAACGGACGAGAAGCUUGCUUUUCUGAUGUUAGCGGCGGACGGGUGAGUAACACGUGGAUAACCUACCUAUAAGACUGGGAUAACUUCGGGAAACCGGAGCUAAUACCGGAUAAUAUUUUGAACCGCAUGGUUCAAAAGUGAAAGACGGUCUUGCUGUCACUUAUAGAUGGAUCCGCGCUGCAUUAGCUAGUUGGUAAGGUAACGGCUUACCAAGGCAACGAUGCAUAGCCGACCUGAGAGGGUGAUCGGCCACACUGGAACUGAGACACGGUCCAGACUCCUACGGGAGGCAGCAGUAGGGAAUCUUCCGCAAUGGGCGAAAGCCUGACGGCGCAACGCCGCGUGAGUGAUGAAGGUCUUCGGAUCGUAAAACUCUGUUAUUAGGGAAGAACAUAUGUGUAAGUAACUGUGCACAUCUUGACGGUACCUAAUCAGAAAGCCACGGCUAACUACGUG